AGCGAACGCUGGCGGCAGGCCUAACACAUGCAAGUCGAACGAAGUCUUCGGACUUAGUGGCGGACGGGUAAGUAACACGUGGGAACGUGCCUUUAGGUUCGGAAUAACUCAGGGAAACUUGUGCUAAUACCGAAUGUGCCCUUCGGGGGGAAGAUUUAUCGCCUUUAGAGCGGCCCGCGUCUGAUUAGCUAGUUGGUGAGGUAAAGGCUCACCAAGGCGACGAUCAGUAGCUGGUCUGAGAGGAUGAUCAGCCACAUUGGGACUGAGACACGGCCCAAACUCCUACGGGAGGCAGCAGUGGGGAAUCUUGCGCAAUGGGCGAAAGCCUGACGCAGCCAUGCCGCGUGAAUGAUGAAGGUCUUAGGAUUGUAAAAUUCUUUCACCGGGGACGAUAAUGACGGUACCCGGAGAAGAAGCCCCGGCUAACUUCGUGCCAGCCGCCGCGGUAACAC
rnacentral:rRNA from 1 species